rnacentral:rRNA from 1 species
UACGAAGGGGGCUAGCGUUGCUCGGAAUCACUGGGCGUAAAGCGCACGUAGGCGGACUCUUAAGUCGGUGGUGAAAUCCUGGAGCUCAACUCCAGAACUGCCUUCGAUACUGAGAGUCUCGAGUCCGGGAGAGGUGAGUGGAACUGCGAGUGUAGAGGUGAAAUUCGUAGAUAUUCGCAAGAACACCAGUGGCGAAGGCGGCUCACUGGCCCAUUACUGACGCUGAGGCACGAAAGCGUGGGGAGCAAACAGG